rnacentral:rRNA from 1 species
GAUGAACGCUGGCGGCGUGCCUAACACAUGCAAGUCGAGCGGACAGACGAGGAGCUUGCUCCUCUGACGUUAGCGGAAGACGGGUGAGUAACACGUGGAUACCCUACCUAUCUUUCUGGUAUCUUUUCGGGACACCGGCGCUAAUACCGGAUGAUCUAUUGCUCCGCAUGGGUCAAUGGUAAGAGUCGGUGUUUCUGUCACUUAUAGCUGCUUCCGCGCCGCAUUAGCUAGUUGGUAAGGUAACGGCUUACCACGGCAACGAUGCGUAGCCGACCUGAGGGGGGGAUCGGCCACACUGGAACGUAGACACGGUCCAGAGGCCUACGGUAGGCAGCAGUAGGGAAGCGGCCGCAAUGGGCGAAAGCCUGACGGAGCGGCGGCGCGUGAAAGAUGAAGGUCUUCGGAUCGGAAAACUCUGUUAUGAGGGAAGAACAAAUGUGUAAGUAACUAUGCACGGCUUGACGGUACCGAAUCAGAAAGCCACGGCUAACUACGUG